rnacentral:miRNA from 1 species
UGGCAGUGUUUCAGCUGGUUGUU